GACGAACGCUGGCGGCGUGCUUAACACAUGCAAGUCGAGCGGAGCGGCGAACGGGUGAGUAACUCGGGAGUAACUGCCCCCCUCUCUGGGAUAACCGUUGGCAAAGGCUGCUAAUACCGGAUAGUGGGGGAUGACUCUCGUCCUAUCAGCUGGUUGGUGGGGUAGUGGCCUACCAAGGCAACGACGGGUAGCCGGCCUGGGCGGGCGACCGGCCACAGUGGGCUGAGAUACGGCCCUAACUCCUACGGUAGGCAGGAGUGGGGAAGAUUGCACAACGGGGGAAACCCUGAUGCAGCAACGCCGCUUGCGGGAUGACGGCCUUCGGGUUGUAAACAGCUUUCAGCUAUGACGCGGUAGUGGCAGAAGAAGCACCGGCUAACUACGUGCCAGCAGCCGCGGUAAUUC
rnacentral:rRNA from 1 species